rnacentral:lncRNA from 1 species
AUUCAGCCCACACUUAAAGUGGGGGGCAUUAGGCUCCAUCUUUUGUAGGAAGGUGUAUCCAAGAAUUUGUGAACAUCUUUUUAAACCAGCACAUUAGCUGUCAUUAGAAUUUGAAGAAAUGUUGCUCCAGUAUUUCGCUACUCUUCUGUCUUGGGUCAAAAUCCAUGGAAGCAGAGCCUGAGACGUGGAUUCUUGUAGAAUUGGCUGAUUCUAAGCCUGGGGCAGAAAAUACCCGUAAUGAGGAGCCUGGAGGAUCUUUUACUAUCAAAAGUCCCAUGUCAGUAGAGCUGAACCUUGGAUGGCCUAGCAACAUCUCUUCGGAGGUCUGCUUGGCAGAGAGAAGGAAGGAGCUUGUGUUGGAAAACAGCAUUCUGCAGCUCUCAGCCCACAGCUGUCCAUCCCCUCUGACCCCUGUCAGUUCUACAAUGGGGAGAACAAGAUAAGGAAUACUCCCCUUCUCAUCAAAAAGACAAGAAUUUUAUAUAUAGCAGGCACCACACAGUGCCUCCUUGGCCAACAUCCAGGCUGCCUAGAGGAAUUUGUCUACAACAAAACAAAUAAAAGCUGUCCUGUGACUCAAACAGCGGGUGGUCUAAGUCCACUACACAGCAGCUUCUCUAU